rnacentral:siRNA from 1 species
CUGAAGAUAUGUAACAAGCCCAG